GUGCCAGCAGCCGCGGUAAUACCGGCAGCCCAAGUGAUGGCCGAUCUUAUUGGGCCUAAAGCGUCCGUAGCUGGCUGCGCAAGUCCGUCGGGAAAUCCACCCGCCCAACGAGUGGGCGUCCGGCGGAAACUGCAUAGCUUGGGACCGGAAGGCUCGAAGGGUACGUGCGGGGUAGGAGUGAAAUCCCAUAAUCCCGCACGGACCACCGAUGGCGAAAGCACUCUGAGAAGACGGCUUCGACAGUGAGGGACGAAAGCCAGGGUCUCCAACCGGAUUAGAUACCCCUGUAGUCC
rnacentral:rRNA from 1 species